UACGUAGGGGGCAAGCGUUGUCCGGAAUCAUUGGGCGUAAAGCGCGCGUAGGCGGCCCGGUAAGUCCGCUGUGAAAGUCGGGGGCUCAACCUGCGAAUGGCGGUGGAUACUGUCGGGCUAGAGUGCGGAAGAGGCGAGUGGAAUUCCGGGUGUAGCGGUGAAAUGCGCAGAUAUCAGGAGGAACACCAAUGGCGAAGGCAGCACUCUGGGACGUGACUGACGCUGAGACGCGAAAGCGUGGGGAGCAAACAGG
rnacentral:rRNA from 1 species